rnacentral:piRNA from 1 species
UGAUCAAGCAUAUUUGGUCUGAAUUCACGU